UUGUCAACAAAACUUGAUGCUGUAGCUGCAGGACUUCCACACUGCCUGAGAGCAGUGGCAGCGGCCGAGCUGGCUGUGAUGGCCUCGAGAGAAUUUAGCAUGCAGUCUUUUUCCACAGGAGCUGAGAAAAACAACUGGAAGGCAUCAGGCUGCAGCCUUGUUGAUGGCGUCUGGAGAUCCAUUGUUGGAACGCCCUGUUUACCCAAACAUUUCUUUCAACAUUAUGCUAAGUUGACACAUGGGCUAGACCAUGUAUCAAAAGGGGGAAUGAUUGCACAGAUGAAAGAAUUGUGGUUUACCAAGGGCUUCACAAUAUUCGCUGAGAAUU